rnacentral:lncRNA from 1 species
GGGCUAAGGUCCUGAGGGUGGGAGAAACUGACUUCCUCCCAGGGACUGCCUGAGGAGGCUUUCCUUUCUCUCCUGGGUCUCACAGGAACUAGUGCUGAGGAUGAACGGGAUGGAAAGGAAGAGGCCUAUUAUUUUGUUUUUCAGAUUGAGAGUCUGUUAUUAGCAAUUUAUUACAUCCGGGUCUGCAGCCAAGCACAUUCUGUUUUCCAGUGUCGGGGGAAGACACUUGGGGAGACGGGGCAAGAGGCCGGGCCGGAAGGAGGUCUGGAUCAACAGUUUCAUAACUGACGAUGUGUUGGCUUGGCUGUGCAAGCGGAGGGUUUAGCAGGACCAGUUUGAGCCCAGCCUGGUGUGCGGAGGCGUCUUCCGGAUGGCAUUGGACUCCCAAGGGACCCCAAAUCACCGAAAGCAGGGGUCUUACUAAGUUAUCCAGGCAGGACUUGAAUUCACAGUCCUCCUGCCUCAGCCUCCCGGGUGUUGGGAUUACAGGUGUGUACCACUUCACCCUGGCUAAUUUCUCCCAUUUUUGUUUUGUUUUGUUUUGUUUUUGGCACCGGGGAUUGAACUCGGGUCCUUGCGCAGCAGGCAGCUGAAACCACUGAGCUAAAUCCCUGGCCCAAUUUCUCCCAUUUUUAAUAAAUACCUGAAAAUAAGAAAUGUUUCACUUUUACCUCAUCGCAGUUAUAAGAAUAAUGGAAUCGGGGUGUAGCUCAGAGGUAGAGUGGUUGCCUGGCAUGAAGAGGCCUUGGUUUCCAUCCUUGGUACCCCAAGAGGGAAUAAAUGCCUUACUUGAGGUAGCUGAUAAAUACUUGGUUUCCUUUGGAUGGAGUGAUAGCAACGAAGGCAAACUGGCCUGGGUGUAAGGAGCGCCAGCCACUCAAUUCCAGCUGACUUUCGUCAUUGUGCCAGAAGUUCAGAUCCAGAUUUUAAUGUGCUACCUCUGGGUUUUUACGUUUUGGUAGCUAGUUCUGUACCCAUGCACACACAGACAUAGGCGCACGCAUGAGGUCUUCUACUCCUUAGACACCCCCCC